ACCUGGAUGGCUUAGUUGGUUAGAGCAUGGUGCUGAUAACGCCAAGGUUGCAGGUUCAAUCCCUGCAGGGGGUUGGGCA